UACGUAGGGUGCAAGCGUUGUCCGGAAUUAUUGGGCGUAAAGAGCUCGUAGGCGGUUUGUCGCGUCGGCUGUGAAAACUCGGGGCUCAACCCCGAGCCUGCAGUCGAUACGGGCAGACUAGAGUGCGGUAGGGGAGACUGGAAUUCCUGGUGUAGCGGUGAAAUGCGCAGAUAUCAGGAGGAACACCGAUGGCGAAGGCAGUGUUCUGGGCCAGUACUGACGCUGAGGAGCGAAAGCGUGGGUAGCAAACAGG
rnacentral:rRNA from 1 species